rnacentral:rRNA from 1 species
GAUGAACGCUGGCGGCGUGCCUAACACAUGCAAGUCGAGCGAAGCGCUCAGGAGGAAGUUUUCGGAUGGAAUCCUGAAUGACUGAGGCGGCGUACGGGUGAGUACGCCGUGGUAACCUGCCUCGAUACAGGGGGUAUAACAGUUAGGAAACGGCUAGCUAAUACCGCAUAAGCGCACAGUACCGCAUGGUAACGGUGUUGAAAAACUCCGGUGGUAAUGAGAUGGACCCGCGUCUGAUUAGCUAGUUGGUAGGGGUAACGGCCUACCAAGGCGACGAUCAGUAGCCGGACCUGAGAGGGUGACCGGCCACAUUGGGACUGAGACACGGCCCAA